AGUGAACGCUGGCGGUAGGCCUAACACAUGCAAGUCGAACGGCAGCACAGUAAGAGCUUGCUCUUAAGGGUGGCGAGUGGCGGACGGGUGAGGAAUACAUCGGCAUCUACUUUUUCGUGGGGGAUAACGUAGGGAAACUUACGCUAAUACCGCAUACGACCUACGGGUGAAAGCAGGGGAUCUUCGGACCUUGCGCGACAGAAUGAGCCGAUGUCGGAUUAGCUAGUUGGCGGGGUAAAGGCCCACCAAGGCGACGAUCCGUAGCUGGUCUGAGAGGAUGAUCAGCCACACUGGAACUGAGACACGGUCCAGACUCCUACGGGAGGCAGCAGUGGGGAAUAUUGGACAAUGGGCGCAAGCCUGAUCCAGCCAUACCGCGUGAGUGAAGAAGGCCUUCGGGUUGUAAAGCCCUUUUAUUAGGAAAGAAAAGCAGCAGGUUAAUACCCCGCUGUUCUGACGGUACCCAAAGAAUAAGCACCGGCUAACUUCGUG
rnacentral:rRNA from 1 species